UGGCGGCAGUAGCGCGGUGGUCCCACCUGACCCAUGCCGAACUCAGAAGUGAAACGCCGUAGCGCCGAUGGUAGUGUGGGGUCUCCCCAUGCGAGAGUAGGGAACUGCCAGGCA
rnacentral:rRNA from 1 species